GUAAAGGUAGUACCCUCGUAUCUAGGAUUUCUUACAGUUGAAAUAGAUGUAAAAGUAUUUAUUCUGUACUCUCUUCCUAUUACCUAUUUUCUAUGCAUGUAUGCAUGUACUAUCUAUGUAUCUAUCAUCUGUUUUUUUCCUCAUACAUUUUCCCAGUCAAAGCACUGUCAGCUUCCAGUUCAUGACAAUGGUUAUCCCAUGUUUUAUCAUCCCCUAGUUUCCAAAUUCCCAUUGCAAUGAAAACAAAGAUGGACAAGAGGACAAAGUUUCAUAUCAUUGAAAACCAGAGAAGACACUGAAGAGUUUUUGCAAAUCCGAAGAAGAGAGAAAGACAAGUUUCCCCUGGUAUUUCUGAACAAGCUUAAAAGAAAAUGAAUUCUUCCACUUGGCUCACCUUCUGGGAAGCAUUUAAAUAUCAUUAAUGGAGUCUGUGAACAGAGUACAAGAAUGAUCCCUUCCUUCAAGUAAGAAAUGUCACAGGCAGUCUUUAUAGAGUUUUAGGGACUCUGGAUGCUUGGUAUGGCUGCUAAUAGACUACUGUUCUGAAAACUGUUUUCCUGGAGUCAAAUAUCAGAAGCAGCCUCCAGGAAGUUGCUUUCGGGGAUUCCUUUAGUCCUCUGGGUCCUGUUUCAUAGGAAUACCUCCUGGUUCCUUUCACAUAGGAAUAACCCCUGAGAGUGAGAUUAGGGCGGAUUCCCGAACAUGCUUGAGGUCCAAAUUGGGAAUCUCCCAGAAAUCACUUACAUGAACCCCGAAACCAAUGUUUACCUAAAUGACUGAAAGGAGAAAAUGUGGGCUCUGCCCAUUAUCUUACACUGGCAAAGGUCCCAGUGGCCUCUAUUGCUUUCUUGGCCCCAUGGCAGCUACCUAAUACUGGAAUGCUAAAUUGUACUUCCCAAUUGAUUUAUUAAUGUCAAAGUGUCAACUCUGUUGUGGUUCAGAUAGGAUAUGUGUGUAUUAUGUCCAUAUAAUUUUGUAAUAUGAAUUAUGUUUUGGUGAUGAUUAUUAUUAUCAGCAUACUUUGUCUUACAUAUGAAAUCUACAUUUAAAAAAUGGAAUUAUUCUCUUAAAAUAUUUCCCAUAGAAUUCUUUUAGCAGUAAACUUUUUGACAACUUUCAGUAUUUCUUGUAGAAAGCAAUUCGAAUUUCUUGUUUAAUUUCUUGAUUAGAGAGAUUCAGAUAGGAUUAAGAUAGGACAUUUCCAUAUAUCAAGGAGGAGAAAAAUUACACAUUCAUGACUCUGUAAUAACUUCAGAUUCUGUUUUAUAUUCUGUCAUUCAGUCUUUUACCUGCAGAUAACUUUGAUUCUAUGUAUAUAAAAUUAAAAUUGGUCCAAUACACCAUUUUGAAGGUCUGCCAAAAUCUGAAUCAAAUUAGGUCAGAUCUAAAUUAUUUAAGACAGUAGACCCAAAAUAAAAUUAAGUAAAAUAGAAUGUUUUAUUGAUGCUCACUGUUGCCAAGUGAAAAACUGCUUUGAAAAUGUCACUUCUGUGGAAAUAGUGAUAUUUUCCCACAGGUAGAAUUUUAGCUGGAGUACCAUUAAUUUUUAAAGCAUUCUCAAGGCACCACAGAAUCUAUACAUGAGCAUUUUCUUUUUUUUUUUUUUUAAUUUUUUUUGUUUAUUUAUUUUUGACAGAGACAGAGACAGAAUGCGAGUGGGUUAGGGGCAGAGAGAGAGGGAGACACAGAAGCAGAAGCAGGCUCAAGGCUCUGAGCUGUCAGCACAGAGCCUGACGCGGGGCUCGAACUCACCAGCUGUGAGAUCAUGACCUGAGCCGAAGUCGGACACUCAGCUGACUGAGCCACCCAGGCGCCCCUACAUGAGCAUUUUCAAAAGCAUUGUAAAAUAAAUCAUAGCCAACAUCAGCAGUGAUAACUCAUGAUGAUAUGUUCCCAUGAUAGGAUAUGAGAAUGGUACUUUCCUCUUUCUCCCCAAAACUCAUAAUUUUGAUCUAACGAUGAAAAAAAAAUCAGAAAAACCCCAACUAAGGGUCAUCCUACAAAAUACCUCAUCAGUAUUGGUCAUGACAUUAUCAAGGUCAUCAAAAACAGGGGAAGUCUGAGAAACUGCCAUAGCGUCACGAUGCCAAAGGAGAUAAUGAUGGUUAAAUGUAAUGUGGUAUCCUGGAUGGAAUCUUGGAGGAGGAAAAAAGGCAGUGGGGAAAAACUAUGGAAAUAUGAAUCAAGUAAGGACAUUAGUUAAUAAUAAUAAUGUACCAUUAUGGUCUCAUUACUUGUGACAAAUGUAGCAUAGGAACGUAAAGUGUUAACAGGGGAACUGAGUACGGACUCCAUGAGAACUCUCCAUACUGUCUGCAUCAGUCUUCCAUAAGUCUGAAACUAUUUCAAGACAAAGAGCGUAUAUAAAAAAAAAAAAGAAACCAAAGAUGUAGAAUUACACUAACAUUAUGUAAAGUUAACAAUGUUCCAUCAAAUUUGAGUUGAUCAAGUAAAUAUAUUGCCAUACAUAGGGAUCUAUACCUAAGUGAUAACAGGCCUAAUUAAAAUGGACUAUAAUUAAUAUACAAAAAUAACAUUUUACACAGUACAAAAUAACAUCACUUUGAUCAAUAAGAGAUCCAUGAGAAAUGCUAAUCAACCUUUAUGCUUGGAAGGAUAAUUUUCUGGAAAUGUGCUCUCCUGGGUAAGGAAUGAGCUUACAACUUAUAAACACAGAAAUAGACUGGAGUCACAAUGUCUGAGUCCUAAUUGUACUUGAGAGUCAUUAUGACUAAGUAGGCCAAAAAGUAUAUCUGCUAGGGAUUCUGUGUGUAUUUCCUUUUAGAAUAGUGGCAAUUUAACUUACUCAGUGGUGUUAAGCACACUAAAUAUUUUUUAAGUUAAGACUUAAUUAUAUGUUGAUCUUAACAAUUCUGUUAAGACACAAAAGACUCCCUUUUGCUUUCUGUGUUACUUUAGAAACUGUGGGGUGACACUGAGAUGAAAGAAACCGAUUCGACUUAGAAAUUCUCCUUCUACUGUCAUGUGAAUACUGAUACCAUGAUCAAAACAAGGCAGUGGACAACUCCACGCUGGCUGUCACGGGGUUCACUUAGCCAUUUCUUAUAACCACAAAGGUCUCUUUGGCCACAAUGGCAUUUUAAAAUCUUCUCCUAUUUGUUCAUAAUCUUUCCAUCCAUAAUAUCUGAAAUCCCAUGAUAAAAAAGAAAGACAUCAUCAGGAGAGAUGGAAGAAGUAGUGUUUACUUCCAGUAUGAAAUGUUAUGAUAUAUGCUCUCUUCCACUGGAACUGAAAAAACUUCCAGAUGAGUCUUCCCAGCCUCAGUGCAUGAGAAGAAUAUCAAGACCAUAUAAAAAGGAAGACAAAGCUGAAACAUCCGAAGACAAGCAGAAGUGCCCUUUAGUCAUCCAGUAGCUCUGCUAUUAGAUAAGAAAACCAAAGCUGCUAGAAGACUGAAUCUGGAGAAUAUGGGAAAAAGAUAAUAAUUAAACCAGGUCUGAGUCCAGUCUUAUCUGCUCCUUGAAUAUUAAUUAAAAAAUCUCUGAAUAGUUUUUCAUUUCACUGAUAGUUGAACACUUGAAAGCAUCACUGGAGGAAAUCAGAGACAGAUACACCUUGACUGUAAGAAAUACACUUAAAAAUCUGGUUCCAUCCUUGGUAGGAUGAACAUAGCACUGAUGUUGCAAACCAAGAUUUUUUUGUCAAGAAUAAAUGCUACAUCACAUCAGAUACCAAGACAAUAGGCAUAAACUGGGACUGUUCUGGGCAAGCUUAGAUAAAUGCCCAUCUUAUUUUGAGAAGUUCUAGGAGAACUUAGCAAAUAGGACCUAAGACCCUGCUCUGCUUUGUAAUAGUUCUUUUUAUGGGAGCACAGGAAACAAUUGUCUUGAUCAGAAUUCUUUAUCAGGGUAAGCCACAGCUACUGUGUGCUUCUCUGAAAAGAUUUUAUGGCUGCACAGCAGCAAUAAAAUAAGCAUAAACGGAACUAAAAUCCUAAAUUCUUGGUAUUUAAUUGUACUGACAUCACUACUGUUUGGAAAUCCUAUACCUUGAUUAAAUGGCAUCCUAGUGAGCUGCAGAGCUUGGGACCUCCAAUAACUGAAGAUUCCCAACUUCAGGCUGAAGGCUGAAAGCACCAUGGGUCAUAUCCAAAUACUGCUUGGAAUUGCAUUUAAUCUGCAAUAAAAGAUCUGUGAAACUC